CUGGAUUCAUACAAUAGAGUUUUACACAGCAAUAAAAACAAAUGACUGAUAGCGGCAUACAGUAACAUACAUUAAUUUUGUGUGAAGGAAGCUAGAUACACACAAAAUUCAGUUUAUGCUUCCAUUAAUAUAAAUUAUAAAAUCAGGCAAAAUGAAGCAAUGGGUUAGAAGACAGAAUAAUGGUUGUAUAAUAUGGGGAUGUGCAAAAGAGAAACUUCAGGGCUGAAGAAAAGUCUCUGUUUCUAUUUGAAUAGUAGUUUUAGGAAAUGAAAGGAAAUGAAAAAAAUCAGUCUGUACACUUACAUUUUGUGUAUGCUACUGUGUACAACAACUAAAAAAUUAUGCAUGCACACAAAAAGAUCAAGCAAGGAAAAAAAAAGAGUGAUCCAUUAAAGGUCAAUAAAGAUGGAGGCCUUAUACUGGAAUCACUAUUUAGAGGAAAGUUGCCUAGAAGAGCUGACCAAACUUCUUUGGACUUAAUGUAAAUAAAAACACCAAUCCUUUCUUAUCUUAAGCUCUCUGAGAUUUAGGGUGCAUUUAGUAUCUCAGCACAACCUAACCUUUCUUGGCUAAUAUUCUAUUCAUAUCCUACAAUCUGUCAGGGCUGGUUUUGGCAGUACAUCAAGGGAGACUAUCUCUCACAGACUAAGUGACACAAAAAACAAAUAUAUAAUGAAUGCCUAAAUCACAAUGUCAAUUCAGUGAGUGACAAGGAGGAAAAAACCCCACAAUUCUCAUAAACUUGGGUAUCUGGUACCAUGAUCUAGUUCCCCUUUCCCACUUCAGACAGACCAGCCUGGGAAGUCAAACCAUAAGGAAAGUCUGUUUAAUGCACCUGAUCUCAGAGUAUUACAUUCGUCAAAUGUUUAGCUGGGCGUGGUGGCACAUGCCUGUAAUCCCAGAUGAGGGAGGCUGAGGCAGGAAGAUCGCAAGUUUAAAGCCAGCCUCAGUAAUUUAGUGAGACCCUAAGCAACUCAGUGAGACCCUGUCUCUAAAUAAAAAUACAAAGAAGAGUUGAGAAUGUGGUUAAUUCCCCCUGGGUUCAAUCCCCAGUACUUAAAAAAAAAAAAGUUUUAAGGACAUCCUUCCAAGAAAGCCCAAAACUCUGUUACAUAAUGGUGAUAGUCAGUAAGUCUAGAAUAUGGAGGUCCUUGGGUGAUAGUUCUCACUCCCAAGUCUUGCCUGAAUUGUCCCAGUGGUUCUUCCUCCUCCUCCUCCUCCUCCUCCUUCUUUCUUCU
rnacentral:lncRNA from 1 species